AUUCUGUCUCGCUCCCUCGUCAGGUUGCAUUGCGCAUGCGCCAGAUAUACUGUGCAAGAAUUCAAAGGGGGCAAAUUCACGACUGAAUCACAAAAAACAAAGACACGGAGUGUAAUCUUAGCAGGAACACUGAUAAACCAGUGGCUGGACCUUCCGGACGCAGGUGUCUUUAUACGACAAUCACCUGAGACACAUUCACUGCACUCAGGUGAUCUCCAUUUCACAAUUUAACUAAUUGUGAGAAUACUAGCACCAAGUGGCUGGACCUCUGUUGAAACAGGUGAGGAAGAGAAUACACAUUAGAAGUGACGUCUGGAAAGAACCCUUUGACACCAGUUGAUCAAGAGACAUCUGGACCUGUUUUGAUCACUAUGUUAAAUGUGUGCCCCCAUACCUCCUCUGUAGGAUUGUACUGCCUGUACUUUAUUAUCACCUCAUCCUUAUUUCUUGUUGUUUGUGUAUCUGCUUAGCAUUCUUGAUUGUCUUCACAUUUUUUAUAAUUCAUACUCUCUCAUUGUCUAUAUUGUACUUUUUUUGUUCAGGAACCCAGGAAGACUAGAUGCACAUCCAAGUGUUUCUAUCAGAAUAUUUGCCAUUUUACAUACUUCCCAACUCUGAGGAAGGCAACAAGAUCUAGCUGAAAUAAUGAUAGUUGUACCUUUGUAAAUCGUUAAUCUACCUUUUGUUUAGGAUGGUGCAGUUUGCAAGGUCAAAGAUGAUUAAUUAAUGCUUAAUGCUCAGCUUUAUUAUUAGGGUUUUGAUAUUAUGGUAUAUUGUUUACAGCAGUAGCUGCUCUCAUAAUUACAGUAGCAGUUUUCAAAGUUUAUUUCAGAUUAUUUGAUGGUCAUGUAUUGCUCACCCUGUCACUCAGCCUACAGAGUGUGAGGCUCUGAUUGCAGGACAUGGAGCCUGGCACAGUCCGAGAGUGACUUUUCUUCCCUUCUGUCGUCAUGCUGGGCCGACGCCAAGAUGGGAGACACAGCUGCUUUGUAUCCAGUGCAAAAAUGUACUUCAAAAUGAGUUCAUAUGCACUAUUUGGUGGCCUAUGCUCAGAUUCUUAUGGUUGUCUCUUAAAUUAAUCAAAUAGAAGUGGCUAAUUUCACUUUCUUUGUAAAUAUAGAUUUAAUAAACACAAUUCAGCUCCAAUAACAGUUAACAGCUAUGAUCAAACAGCGUCUUACAGCAAUAUAGCCAGCAGGUGGCAGACUAGGCUCAAGUACAUUUGGAAAGGAGCACUUGGAAUACAAGGGAAUCAACUGUGCAUUGCCAUUACUGACAAAGAGGCCACUGAAUGUUUUAAAAAUACAUAUUAUGACACAAGUAUCAAGUAUUUGAAUAGAUACAUUACAUGCAGUUAACUGGAAAUGAUGAUCAAAUCAGUUAGCUAUGUUCCGGCGUCUCCAUGUAGAACAAAAACCUGAAUCAAUGAUUUUGUCACUUUUAAUUACAAUUUGCCUGGAAUUAAUUGGGCAACAGAAGCAUGAUAACACGGUAUGACUCCACUGAUAUUAUUGAAUGAUGGGUUAAAGUUAAAAAUGUAAUUCUUUUAAUAGUAAGAAGUUUAUUUGUGUUCUACAAUAAAAACCACACAAUGUUUCCCUCGCAA